GAGCAGAGAUGUAGAUACAACUU
rnacentral:piRNA from 1 species